rnacentral:rRNA from 1 species
GAUGAAUGCUGGCGGCGUGCCUAACACAUGCAAGUCGAGCGGCAGCGCGUCUAGUUUACUAGAUGGCGGCGAGCGGCGGACGGCUGAGUAACGCGUGGGAACGUGCCCCAAAGUGAGGAAUAACUGCCCGAAAGGGUAGCUAAUGCCGCAUAUGAUCUUCGGAUUAAAGUCUUCGGACGCUUUGGGAGCGGCCCGCGUCGGAUUAGGUAGUUGGUAGGGUAAUGGCCUACCAAGCCGACGAUCCGUAGCUGGUCUGAGAGGAUGAUCAGCCAGACUGGAACUGAGACACGGUCCAGACUCCUACGGGAGGCAGCAGUGAGGAAUCUUCCACAAUGGGGGCAACCCUGAUGGAGCAACGCCGCGUGAAGGAUGAAGGCCCUCGGGUUGUAAACUUCUUUUAUGAGUGAAGAAUAUGACGGUAACUCAUGAAUAAGCACCGGCUAACUACGUG